ACAUGCAAGUAGAACGCUGAAGGAGGAGCUUGCUUCUCCGGAUGAGUUGCGAACGGGUGAGUAACGCGUAGGUAACCUGCCUGGUAGCGGGGGAUAACUAUUGGAAACGAUAGCUAAUACCGCAUAAUAGUAGAUGUUGCAUGACAUUUGCUUAAAAGGUGCAAUUGCAUCACUACCAGAUGGACCUGCGUUGUAUUAGCUAGUUGGUGGGGUAACGGCUCACCAAGGCGACGAUACAUAGCCGACCUGAGAGGGUGAUCGGCCACACUGGGACUGAGACACGGCCCAGACACCUACGGGAGGCAGCAGUAGGGAAUCUUCGGCAAUGGACGGAAGUCUGACCGAGCAACGCCGCGUGAGUGAAGAAGGUUUUCGGAUCGUAAAGCUCUGUUGUAAGAGAAGAACGAGUGUGAGAGUGGAAAGUUCACACUGUGACGGUAUCUUACCAGAAAGGGACGGCUAACUACGUGCCAGCAGCCGCGGUAAUACGUAGGUCCCGAGCGUUGUCCGGAUUUAUUGGGCGUAAAGCGAGCGCAGGCGGUUAGAUAAGUCUGAAGUUAAAGGCUGUGGCUUAACCAUAGUACGCUUUGGAAACUGUUUAACUUGAGUGCAAGAGGGGAGAGUGGAAUUCCAUGUGUAGCGGUGAAAUGCGUAGAUAUAUGGAGGAACACCGGUGGCGAAAGCGGCUCUCUGGCUUGUAACUGACGCUGAGGCUCGAAAGCGUGGGGAGCAAACAGGAUUAGAUACCCUGGUAGUCCACGCCGUAAACGAUGAGUGCUAGGUGUUAGACCCUCUCCGGGGUUUAGUGCCGCAGCUAACGCAUUAAGC
rnacentral:rRNA from 1 species